rnacentral:rRNA from 1 species
AUUGAACGCUGGCGGCAGGCCUAACACAUGCAAGUCGAAUGGUAACAGGAAACAGCUUGCUGUUUCGCUGACGAGUGGCGGACGGGUGAGUAAUGUCUGGGAAACUGCCUGAUGGAGGGGGAUAACUACUGGAAACGGUAGCUAAUACCGCAUAACGUCGCAAGACCAAAGAGGGGGACCUUCGGGCCUCUUGCCAUCAGAUGUGCCCAGAUGGGAUUAGCUAGUAGGUGGGGUAACGGCUCACCUAGGCGACGAUCCCUAGCUGGUCUGAGAGGAUGACCAGCCACACUGGAACUGAGACACGGUCCAGACUCCUACGGGAGGCAGCAGUGGGGAAUAUUGCACAAUGGGCGCAAGCCUGAUGCAGCCAUGCCGCGUGUAUGAAGAAGGCCUUCGGGUUGUAAAGUACUUUCAGCGGGGAGGAAGGGAGUAAAGUUAAUACCUUUGCUCAUUGACGUUACCCGCAGAAGAAGCCCCGGCUAACUCCGUG